rnacentral:rRNA from 1 species
GACAGAGGUGCCGAGCGUUAGGCGGAAUCACUGGGCUUAAAGCGUGUGUAGGCGGACGGGUAAGUACCUUGUGAAAUCCCACGGCUCAACCGUGGAACGGCUGGGUAUACUGCCCGUCUUGAGCCACUUAGGGGCUGUCGGAACAAAUGGUGGAGCGGUGAAAUGCGUAGAUAUCGUUUGGAACGCCAAUGGUGAAAACAGGUCGCUGGGAGUGUGCUGACGCUGAGACACGAAAGCCAGGGGAGCGAACGGG